AGAGUUUGAUCAUGGCUCAGAUUGAACGCAGGCGGCAGGCCUAACACAUGCAAGUCGAGCGGUAACAGGGGAAGCUUGCUUCCCGCUGACGAGCGGCGGACGGGUGAGUAACGCGUAGGAAUCUACCCAGUAGCGGGGGAUAAGCCAGAGAAAUUUGGUCUAAUACCGCAUACGCCCUUCGGGGGAAAGCAGGGGAUCUUCGGACCUUGCACUAUUGGAUGAGCCUGCGUGAGAUUAGCUAGUUGGUGAGGUAAUGGCUCACCAAGGCGACGAUCUCUAGCUGGUCUGAGAGGAUGAUCAGCCACACUGGAACUGAGACACGGUCCAGACUCCUACGGGAGGCAGCAGUGGGGAAUAUUGCACAAUGGGCGCAAGCCUGAUGCAGCCAUGCCGCGUGUGUGAAGAAGGCCCUAGGGUUGUAAAGCACUUUCAGCAGUGAGGAAAGGUUGUAAGUUAAUACCUUGCAACUGUGACGUUAACUGCAGAAGAAGCACCGGCUAACUCCGUGCCAGCAGCCGCGGUAAUACGGAGGGUGCGAGCGUUAAUCGGAAUUACUGGGCGUAAAGCGCGCGUAGGUGGAUUGGUCAGUCAGAUGUGAAAGCCCAGGGCUCAACCU
rnacentral:rRNA from 1 species